AACGAACGCUGGCGGCAGGCCUAACACAUGCCAGUCGAGCGCGACCUUCGGGGUGAGCGGCGGACGGGUGAGUAACGCGUGGGAACGUGCCCUUUUCUACGGAAUAGCCUCGGGAAACUGAGAGUAAUACCGUAUACGCUCUUCGGGGGAAAGAUUUAUCGGAAAAGGAUCGGCCCGCGUUGGAUUAGGUAGUUGGUGGGGUAAUGGCCUACCAAGCCGACGAUCCAUAGCUGGUUUGAGAGGAUGAUCAGCCACACUGGGACUGAGACACGGCCCAGACUCCUACGGGAGGCAGCAGUGGGGAAUCUUAGACAAUGGGGGCAACCCUGAUCUAGCCAUGCCGCGUGAGUGAUGAAGGCCUUAGGGUUGUAAAGCUCUUUCAGCUGGGAAGAUAAUGACGGUACCAGCAGAAGAAGCCCCGGCUAACUCCGUG
rnacentral:rRNA from 1 species